GACGAACGCUGGCGGCGUGCCUAAUACAUGCAAGUAGAACGCUGAAGAGAGGAGCUUGCUCUUCUUGGAUGAGUUGCGAACGGGUGAGUAACGCGUAGGUAACCUGCCUUGUAGCGGGGGAUAACUAUUGGAAACGAUAGCUAAUACCGCAUAACAAUGGAUGACACAUGUCAUUUAUUUGAAAGGGGCAAUUGCUCCACUACAAGAUGGACCUGCGUUGUAUUAGCUAGUAGGUGAGGUAAUGGCUCACCUAGGCGACGAUACAUAGCCGACCUGAGAGGGUGGUCGACUACACUGGGACUGAGACGCGGCCCAGACACCUACGGGAGGCAGCAGUAGGGAAUCGUCGGCAAUGGGGGGAACGUUGACCGAUCAACGCCGCGUGAGUGAAGAAGGUUUGCGGAUCGUAAAGCUCUGUUGUAAGUGAAGAACGGGUGUGAGAGUGGAAAGUUCACCCUGUGACGGUAGCUUACCAGAAAGGGACGGCUAACUACGUG
rnacentral:rRNA from 1 species